rnacentral:lncRNA from 1 species
GCUCAUCCUGCGCUGAGCGCCCAAAUUCGAAGAAAAAAUCCAUUAGCUAUUAUAUGGAAUACGCCAAGUCCCGCUCCAGUGCUCAGUGCAACAAGUCACGCUCAACACAAUCUAGUCCAACCAAACGUCACACUCGGGGCAGGACUUCAUGCUGAGUGUAGACCGAUGCAUCCAAGAGUCAUGCAGACAACUUGAUCCCACACUCAACACAACAACGAUGCGAUGAGCGCAUAAGCCAAC